CGAGGGAAUAUUUGGGGUCAAUGGGCGCAGGCCUGAACCAGCCAAGUCGCGUGAGGGAAGACGGUCCUACGGAUUGUAAACCUCUUUUGUCGGGGAGUAACGUGCGGGACGCGUCCCGUAUUGAGAGUACCCGAAGAAAAAGCAUCGGCUAACUCCGUGCCAGCAGCCGCGGUAAUACGGAGGAUGCGAGCGUUAUCCGGAUUUAUUGGGUUUAAAGGGUGCGCAGGCGGCGCGCCAAGUCAGCGGUCAAAGUUCCGGGCUCAACCCGGUGUCGCCGUUGAAACUGGCGUGCUCGAGUGCGUGCGAGGAAGGCGGAAUGCGUUGUGUAGCGGUGAAAUGCGUAGAUAUCGGGAGGAACACCAGUGG
rnacentral:rRNA from 1 species